ACCCGCAAGGGUGGCCUAGCGGUUGGAGCAAGGGAGCUUGGGUCAAUUGACCCAAGUUCGAAUCCCCUUGUCAACGGUCGCUAGGUCGAGCUUGUCACACAUGGUUAGCCUAGUGUGGUUUACAUCUCUCGUAUGGUUUGCAAGCUAUUAUACGAGAGUGUAGGUUUACCCAGUGCACCUAUAUGGUUGGCUGCGGGUUCCUGCAUUACCAAAAAA
rnacentral:lncRNA from 1 species